rnacentral:rRNA from 1 species
UACGUAGGUGGCGAGCGUUGUCCGGAAUUACUGGGUGUAAAGGGAGCGCAGGCGGGGUCUUAAGCUGGAUGUGAAAUACCGCAGCUCAACUGCGGAGCUGCAUCCAGAACUGGGACUCUUGAGUGGAGUAGAGGUAGGCGGAAUUCCUAGUGUAGCGGUGAAAUGCGUAGAUAUUAGGAGGAACACCAGUGGCGAAGGCGGCCUACUGGGCUCUAACUGACGCUGAGGCUCGAAAGCGUGGGGAGCAAACAGG